rnacentral:lncRNA from 1 species
UUUGGGAGAGGGUUCAAAACUUUACUAAAGUUACUGAGACCCCACCUUCAAGAUUUCCUGGAUAUGGUGUUACUCAUAACUAGAAAAAACAUAGCAUAUUUUGGGAGUUGUCAUAUUGGAAGGAUAAUCUUCUCCGACAUAAUCUUGAUGUCAUGCAUAUUGAGAAGAACUAUUUUGACAAUUUGUUCAACACGGUGAUGGAUGAUGAGAAUAAGACAAAAGAUAACCCGAAGGCUAGACUGGACUUACAAGAAUAUUGCGGGCAACUUGAACUUCAACAUAGUGAUGGAUGAUAAGAAUAAGACAGAAGAUAACCCGAAGGCUAGACUGGACUUACAAGAAGGCGACCUGAAUUACAUUUGUAGUAUGUUAACAAUUGUAAGGUGUUCAAGCCCAAGGCCUGCUACACAUUCACCUUGGAACAAAGACGAAAGAUUUGUGAGUGGGUUACAAACCUAAAGAUUCCCAAGGACUAUGCAUCAAACAUGGGAAAACGUGGCAAUAUGGUUGAGGGAAAGCUGACUCAUACGAAAAGUCAUGACUGUCAUAUAUUCAUGGAAACCUUAAUCCCUAUUUCAUUUUUUGGAUUGCCUGAAAAUAUAUGGAAACCAAUCACAAAAAUAAGUUUGUUCUUCAAAGACUUAUGUUCUACCACAUUAAGGGAAGAAAACCUAUUUCAAAUGGUUUGUUCUUCAAAGACUUAUGUUCUACCAUAUUAAAGGAAGAAACCUAUUUCAAAUGGAUUAGAACAUUCCUAUAAUCACAAUUAAGUUGGAGAGGAUUUUUCCGUGUGGUUUCUUCGAUGUGAUGGAACACCUUCCAAUUCACCUUGUACAUGAGGCGCGACUUGGAGGCCUGGUUCAAUGCAGG